CAAACACUGGUUUAAUAAUAAGAACAAAGAUGAGUCAUUAUUGGGACUGAUACAGGCUUUAAAAGGUAGCAAUGAAGGCUUAGAUAAAAAGAUUCUUUCUCUGAAAUCUGCUAACCAGGAUUUACA